GAUGAACGCUAGCUACAGGCUUAACACAUGCAAGUCGAGGGGAAACGACAUCGAAAGCUUGCUUUUGAUGGGCGUCGACCGGCGCACGGGUGAGUAACGCGUAUCCAACCUGCCCAUCACUUGGGAAUAACCUUGCGAAAGUAAGACUAAUACCCAAUGACAUCCCACGAAGACAUCUGAAUGGGAUUAAAGAUUUAUCGGUGAUGGAUGGGGAUGCGUCUGAUUAGCUUGUUGGCGGGGUAACGGCCCACCAAGGCAACGAUCAGUAGGGGUUCUGAGAGGAAGGUCCCCCACAUUGGAACUAAGACACGGUCCAAACUCCUACGGGAGGCAGCAGUGAGGAAUAUUGGUCAAUGGGCGAGAGCCUGAACCAGCCAAGUAGCGUGCAGGAUGACGGCCCUAUGGGUUGUAAACUGCUUUUAUAAGGGAAUAAAGUGGGUCUCGUGAGACUUUUUGCAUGUACCUUAUGAAUAAGGACCGGCUAAUUCCGUG
rnacentral:rRNA from 1 species